AACCUCCGCAAUGUGAGAAAUCGCGACGGGGGGAUCCCAAGUGCCAUUCUUAACGGGAUGGCUUUUCAUUAGUGUAAAGAGCUUUUGGAAUAAGAGCUGGGCAAGACCGGUGCCAGCCGCCGCGGUAACACCGGCAGCUCUAGUGGUAACAAUUUUUAUUGGGCCUAAAGCGUCCGUAGCCGGUUUAAUAAGUCUCUGGUGAAAUCCUGUAGCUUAACUGUGGGAAUUGCUGGAGAUACUAUCAGACUUGAAGCCGGGAGAGGUUAGAGGUACUACCGGGGUAGGGUGAAAUCCUAUAAUCCUGGGAGGACCACCUGUGGCGAAGGCGUCUAACUGGAACGAUCUUGACGGUGAGUAACGAAAGCCAGGGGCGCGAACCGGAUUAGAUACCCGGGUAGUCCUAACCGUAAACGAUGCGGACUUGGUGUUGGGGUGGCUUUGAGCUGCUCCAGUGCCGAAGGGAAGCUGUUAAGUCCGCCGCCUGGGAAGUACGGUCGCAAGACUGAAACUUAAGGAAUU
rnacentral:rRNA from 1 species